AACGAACGCUGGCGGCAGGCCUAACACAUGCAAGUCGAACGCAUCGCAAGAUGAGUGGCGCACGGGUGAGUAACACGUGGGAAUGUAUCCUUUGGUUCGGAAUAACGUCUGGAAACGGACGCUAAUACCGGAUGAGCCCUUAGGGGGAAAGAUUUAUCGGCGAAGGAGCAGCCCGCGUCUGAUUAGGUAGUUGGUGGGGUAAAGGCCUACCAAGCCGACGAUCAGUAGCGGGUCUGAGAGGAUGAUCAGCCACACUGGGACUGAGACACGGCCCAGACUCCUACGGGAGGCAGCAGUGGGGAAUAUUGGACAAUGGGCGCAAGCCUGAUCCAGCCAUGCCGCGUGAGUGAUGAAGGCCUUCGGGUUGUAAAGCUCUUUCGCACACGACGAUGAUGACGGUAGUGUGAGAAGAAGCCCCGGCUAACUUCGUGCCAGCCGCCGCAGUAACAC
rnacentral:rRNA from 1 species